rnacentral:lncRNA from 1 species
ACUAUUCACUUACACCUUUAUUGUUGUGUCCUUUUGUCUUGAGUUUUAUUUUUUUAUUUUUAGUUUUCAUCUUCUUUGAAAAGUAAAUACCAAACAAGAUUUCAGUUAAAACAAAAGUGAAAAUUAAAUGGUUGUCAAAUAGUUGCUAGACCCACCUCUUGUCUUAUUUAUCCAACCACACCAUAAAAAGUACAAAAAACCUAAUCAUCUUUUCCCAUCCACUGUUAUUCCUAAAUAUUCCUAUGUUUGAAAUUUAAAACAAAAAUUGAAGAAGGAGAAAAAAGCACAAUUCAACAACUACGUAGCGGCAGAACUCAUUAGCCAACAACAACCAAACUCACCACCGCACCCCCCGUGGUUCUCCUCGCCAUCAACCAAAUUUUUUUCCUCCCAUUUUCUUCUUCUCUUUCUCUCUUCCCAUGAUCCAAAUAUAAAGACCGUCAAUAUCAAGAACUAUAUUCAAACUUUUUGAGAUUAUUGCUAAGAAUUGAAGCCCCUCACCAUAUAUGUGACAUCCCACAUCGUCUAGGGGAGUAGAUC